ACGGGGAGGCAGGAGUGAGCCGGGGCCACCCCCGAGGGUGCUCGCACUGGAACGUGGCAACCACGGCCCUGAGUCCCAUGUUACAGAGGAAGAAACCAGGACUUCUGGGCGUGGGGACUGGCCCAGGGCUGAGCAAAGAUGGGGAAGUGCGACAGACAGGGUGAUGGGACUUGUCCGGGAUCACACAGCCAGUGAGUAUCCAGAGGAGUUCCUGUACUCUGCCCACUGCAACAUCACCUAGCUGUUCGUCAACAACAACAAAGUAAGCCAGGCACUGGGGGCUGGGGAGGCUGUCAGCAAAGACAGUCACUGCCUUAAAGGAGCUUAACACCCUGAAAGGGAAACAUCAUCCAGAGGGGUAGGGAGAACUCCAAAGGGCGCCCAAGCUGGGGCAUCUUGUUCCUUGGAGGUAAAUUUGAGCAGAGCGGCAGAUGCCAAGUGGACUCCCCUUUAGCCUAGACUCAGGGCUGAACCCUAAGCAAGCUCCCCGAAAUGUUUUCCUCAUUGUUUCCUCCUUGUAGCUCCUGUGUGCCAGGCACAGCUGGGCACAAACACCAAGGCUCUGUCCUCGGGGAGCUUACAGCCAGUGAUCCGGGGAUUCCCCUCAGGGCACAUGUGGAUAGUCUCCCAGUAUCCAUGUCUGUCCAGCACCAUAUUUCAUUACUGGGGCUCAGCGCCCCAUCACACAUCAGGAGUACUGCCCCUUGCUCCUGCCUCGCCCAUCGAGCAUAACUAGCUGGGCCACCCCUUUCCCUGCCAGCCACUCUCUUGGAUCUUCCUCCUGGGAAUCUCUGAGUGUCCCAGCUGCUCUGUCUUCCUCCCUUACAGCCUCUUUCUGCGGAUGGAAUGGAACCUGGCGGGGAACCCGAAACAGCCUUUUCCUUCCCCUCCCUUCUCAAUUAAAGCCAUUGGUUUGAGUGGCAAAAUGCCGGGUGGGCAGGAGUCUCUUUCCCUGGAUCCUCAGCAGAGCCCCGUGAGGGGCCCCUCCUCCAGUAGGCACGGCCCAGUGGGGGUGUUCUCUCCAGCGAGGCAGACUGCAGCCCACCCGGCCCACGAGGUAAGUUGUCCCAGUGCUGGGGCUGUUCCCCCUUCCCUGACGAGGAUGCAGGCUCAGAGCGGGUGCUUGGCCGGGGUCCCCGCUGAGGGGCCGGUCUAGCUGCCGAGCCCGGGCUCUCACUGCUGCCCAUG